GACGAACGCUGGCGGCGUGCUUAACACAUGCAGGUCGAACGGUAAGGCCCUUCGGGGUACACGAGUGGCGAACGGGUGAGUAACACGUGGGUGAUCUGCCCUGCACUUCAGGAUAAGCCUGGGAAACUGGGUCUAAUACCGGAUAGGACCACUGCCUGCAUGGGGGGUGGUGGAAAGCUUUUGCGGUGUGGGAUGGGCCCGCGGCCUAUCAGCUUGUUGGUGGGGUGAUGGCCUACCAAGGCGACGACGGGUAGCCGGCCUGAGAGGGUGACCGGCCACACUGGGACUGAGAUACGGCCCAGACUCCUACGGGAGGCAGCAGUGGGGAAUAUUGCACAAUGGGCGCAAGCCUGAUGCAGCGACGCCGCGUGAGGGAUGACGGCCUUCGGGUUGUAAACCUCUUUCAGCACCGACGAAGCGCAAGUGACGGUAGGUGCAGAAGAAGGACCGGCCAACUACGUGCCAGCAGCCGCCGUAA
rnacentral:rRNA from 1 species